CACAUAACAGAGAGGCUAGGAUU
rnacentral:siRNA from 1 species